rnacentral:rRNA from 1 species
CUCCCUCGUCGCUGAUCUCAGGUUCGAUAAUGCCAAUAUCGCACCACCUCGCCUAAAACCAACUUCGAUGAAGCGACGGGCGGUGUGUG